rnacentral:rRNA from 1 species
GAUGAACGCUGGCGGCGUGCCUAAUACAUGCAAGUCGAGCGAACAGACGAGGAGCUUGCUCCUCUGACGUUAGCGGCGGACGGGUGAGUAACACGUGGAUAACCUACCUAUAAGACUGGGAUAACUUCGGGAAACCGGAGCUAAUACCGGAUAAUAUAUUGAACCGCAUGGUUCAAUAGUGAAAGACGGUUUUGCUGUCACUUAUAGAUGGAUCCGCGCCGCAUUAGCUAGUUGGUAAGGUAACGGCUUACCAAGGCAACGAUGCGUAGCCGACCUGAGAGGGUGAUCGGCCACACUGGAACUGAGACACGGUCCAGACUCCUACGGGAGGCAGCAGUAGGGAAUCUUCCGCAAUGGGCGAAAGCCUGACGGAGCAACGCCGCGUGAGUGGUGAAGGUCUUCGGAUCGUAAAACUCUGUUAUUAGGGAAGAACAAAUGUGUAGGUAACUAUGCACGUCUUGACGGUACCUAAUCAGAAAGCCACGGCUAACUACGUG